GCGGAAGGAUCAUUAAAGAGUAAGGGUCUCCGGCCCGAACUCCAACCCUUUGUUGUUAUAACCACCUCGUUGCUUUGGCGGGACCGUUCGGUCCUCCGAGCGCGCCGGUCUUCGGAUUGGCGAGCGCCCGCCGGAGUCAAACCAAACUCUUGUAUUUAACCGGUCGUCUGAGUAAAAUUUUUGAAUUAAAUCAAAACUUUCAACAACGGAUCUCUUGGUUCUCGCAUCGAUGAAGAACGCAGCGAAAUGCGAUAAGUAAUGUGAAUUGCAGAAUUCAGUGAAUCAUCGAAUCUUUGAACGCACAUUGCGCCCCUUGGUAUUCCGAGGGGCAUGCCUGUUCGAGCGUCAUUACACCACUCAAGCUCUGCUUGGUAUUGGGCCCUCGUCCGCCUCUCACGGCGGGCGUGCCUCAAAGACCUCGGCGGAGUGUCAUCAGCUUCGGCGUAGUAGAAUAAAAUCGAACGUCUUAUAAGCCUGGUGGUACUCCAUCGCCGUUAAACCUUUCAUACUUCUAAGGUUGACCUCGGAUCAGGUAGGGAUACCCGCUGAAC
rnacentral:rRNA from 1 species